rnacentral:rRNA from 1 species
GACGAACGCUGGCGGCGUGCCUAAUACAUGCAAGUCGAACGAGAGCGACCGGUGCUUGCACUGGUCAAUCUAGUGGCGAACGGGUGAGUAACACGUGGGUAACCUGCCCAUCAGAGGGGGAUAACAUUCGGAAACGGAUGCUAAAACCGCAUAGGUCUUCGAACCGCAUGGUUUGAAGAGGAAAAGAGGCGCAAGCUUCUGCUGAUGGAUGGACCCGCGGUGCAUUAGCUAGUUGGUGAGGUAACGGCUCACCAAGGCCGUGAUGCAUAGCCGACCUGAGAGGGUGAUCGGCCACAUUGGGACUGAGACACGGCCCAAACUCCUACGGGAGGCAGCAGUAGGGAAUCUUCCGCAAUGGACGCAAGUCUGACGGAGCAACGCCGUGUGAGUGAAGAAGGUUUUCGGAUCGUAAAACUCUGUUGUUAGAGAAGAAUAAGUGCUAGAGUAACUGUUAGCGCCUUGACGGUAUCUAACCAGAAAGCCACGGCUAACUACGUG